rnacentral:rRNA from 1 species
GGAUUAGAUACCCUGGUAGUCCUAGCUGUAAACGAUGGAUACUAGACGUAGGAACUGGAUUGACGGUUUCUGUGUCGUAGCUAACGCGUUAAGUAUCCCGCCUGGGGAGUACGGCCGCAAGGCUAAAACUCAAAUGAAUUGACGGGGACCCGCACAAGCGGUGGAGCAUGUGGUUUAAUUCGAUGAUACCCGUAGAACCUUACCUGGACUUGACAUAUAGGGUCUAGCUAUAGAGAUAUAGUGUGCAUUAGCGCCCUAUACAGGUGGUGCAUGGCUGUCGUCAGCUCGUGCCG